GAUGAAGAACGUAGCGAAAUGCGAUAAGUAAUGUGAAUUGCAGAAUUCAGUGAAUCAUCGAAUCUUUGAACGCACAUUGCGCCCAUUAGUAUUCUAGUGGGCAUGCCUGUUCGAGCGUCAUUAAGUCCACUUAAGCCCUGCUUAGUGUUGGGAGACUGCUCCAGCGGUGCUACCCUGUAGCUACCCUGCAGCUCCUCAAAGACAGCGGUGGAGUUGUGGUAUCCUCUGAGCUUAGUAACUUGUUCUAGCUUUCGAGUACACCACUUCCCCUGCCGUAAAACCCUUAAUUUUUAAUGGUUGACCUCGGAUCAGGUAGGAAUACCCGCUGAACUUAAGCAUAUCAAUAAGCGGAGGA
rnacentral:misc_RNA from 1 species